CGACAUAAGCUUGGAGGAAGUUGAUGUGCUGAAGCUUGCCUUUUUUGAGAAUAACGCAAAAGACAAAAGAUACAAUAGACACACCAGGUUUGUUUCCUGUGAUAUUGUGGUUUCGGCCUAUAUUGGUUUGUGGUUUCGGCCUAUAUUGGUUUGUGGUUUCCUCAAGUCUCUGUUCUGUUCGUAUGGUCUCAGCCCGUGCUUAUUCAGGUUCUUUGGGAACUUGCGUUCGAUUGUCGUCUGUGUGGAGCUGGUUUUUUGGUUCUGAUAAGAAACACUUUCCCUCUUUUUAAUUAUUGUGCCUCAGUGUUGAUUUCUUUUUUUUGGUGAUUCAAAAGGUUGUCCGGUAGUGUGGAAAGGUUGUUUGUGUUUUUAUGGUCUGUAAUAAUCGUACUUCAAAUUACGUUAAUGCAAUUCAAAGAUGAACAAAAAAAAACAAAAUAGACACACCUGUCAAGUCCUUGGUUACUCGAAACAGGUAGGCACAUAGCUUAUGUUUUGUUACAGCUUCCCUUCUCUCAUUUUAUCAUGUAGGUACUAUUGAUGAGGUCCCCACGACUACUACUGUGACCAACCUCCAGAAAUUCAUGCUUCUGAAGUUCAACCAUCUUCAAGCUCUUGCAAACUUUCUUUGAACUCCCCGAUAUAGUUGGCCAAAUCCGUUCAAGACUCUUAACAUAAACAACUCUGUUCAAGGCUCUGACAUAAACAACUCUGCUGCAACAACCCGAUUAUGCAUGAAAGUUGGUGUCUCAAUCAUGCUGCUGCGCAACCUAAACCAAGAAGAAGGCUUGAGAAAGAGUUAUAGAAGCAGAAGUGUGUGUGCUGAUACCAAGAAACAAACUAUCACCGACCUAAACCAAACAUCUAUUCAUUCUAAGAAGCCGCCAGUUUUGAGUACAUAUAUCCUAGGGAUUUUAACAUUACCAGGGUCACGUGACUAACGACAUUGCCAACAUCGUUUACAGAAAAGCCUUCAAUGGCCUCCCACAAUCACUGGUUUAGAAGAAGACUAUGAGAGUUUCGCCAACAUGCUUUCCUCUGUUUCUUUCUCUGUUCUGUUUGUAUCUGUCCAAAGAAUCAUCAAAUGGGAUCCACUGAACUACAAGACACAUAUUUGUUUAGCUCUUUUUCUGAGAACUUACACUCAACGUUCUUCACUCCAACCACAAGCUCGCUCUGAUCUGACUCGGACACGGAUUCACCAAAGCCAUAAAACGAGGAUGAAAAUCGUAGAGUUGACUUGGCAUAUGAGUAACUAUAUGAGCAUCAGAAGUCUUGUGGUGGAGACAACCUAUUAUGAUUCCUUUUCAAUCAAAAGAAGCUUUCAUCGAUGAGCAGAUCCGAUAUGUUCAUGCAAAC